rnacentral:misc_RNA from 1 species
UAAUAAGUGUUUUAUGGCACCUUUUAAAUCCAUAUCCACCUUGUGUGCAAUGUCAGUCGAUCUUCUUCAUGGAGAUCGACCAAACAUCAACCUUUAUCUUUUAACUCUUUGUCUUAAAAAUAUUAUGAAUAAACAAUUCAAAAUA